UACGGGGGGGGCAAGCGUUGUUCGGAAUUACUGGGCGUAAAGGGCUCGUAGGUGGCCAACUAAGUCGGACGUGAAAUCCCUCAGCUUAACUGGGGAACUGCGUCUGAUACUGGAUGGCUUGGAUCCGGAAGAGGGAUGCGGAAUUCCAGGUGUAGCGGUGAAAUGCGUAGAUAUCUGGAGGAACACCGGUGGCGAAGGCGGCAUCCUGGGCCGGUAUUGACGCUGAGGAGCGAAAGCCAGGGGAGCAAACGGG
rnacentral:rRNA from 1 species